AUUUUCAUUGUCUUCUAUUUAUUCUAUUUUCUUUUUCUCUUUUUCAUUUUCUUGUAAUUAUUCUUUUUUCUUUUUUUCUUUUUCAUUUUCUACUUAUAAUUAGUAUUUUCGCAUAUUUUUUAAUCUGUAUAACUUAUGUUAAUCGUUUAAUUAUCAGAAUAUAGAAGAUGACAUUUUAUGUUCUUUAGGAUAUAAGUAUAUAUUUAAUUAAUUAUUGAUGUUCAAUACAUAUUUUUCUAAAUUAAUUAAUGUCAAGCUUUGUUACUCAUUAAAUGUUUGAAUGAUUUAUAUAAUUGAGGAUUUACAUAAUAUAAAUAUUUAGCUUGCAAUAUUUAAUAGAAAUCUCUGGUACAUAAUCACUUUAUGAUUGUAUAAACAAAAAACAAAGGGUAAAAAAAUACGUACUACUGAAAAAUUGUCAUAUUUUCCUUUUUUUUCUAUCUUUUAUGAGUAAUUUUCUUUCUUGUCUAUCAAAUGUACGGAACAAUUGAUUUCUGAUAUAGGUUAAUCUUUUGAAGGUUACACAUCUCUAACUUGGUUAUUUUGUCACUCAAUUCAUCUGUGUUUCCUCUUAUUUUAAAUUUUAUUCUUGCAUCACCAAUGAUUAUGAUAGGGUUUUUCGUAUUGUUUUGAUGAGAUUGAGAUGUUUGUUAGGAUUAUGAGGAUCUCACAAUAAUAAAGUUGGUGCUAAUGUAACACUAGAAAAAUGAUUGGGUUGGUUUCCUUUAAUACAUACGGUCUCAUUUUCAUUGUCUUGUAAUUAUUCUAUUUUCUUUUUUUCUUUUUCAUUUUCUUGUAAUUAUUCUUUUUUCUUUUUUUCUUUUUCAUUUUCUACUUAUAAUUAGUAUUUUAGCAUAUUUUUUAAUCUAUAUAACUUAUGUUAAUCGUUUAAUUAUCAGAAUAUAGAAGAUAACAUUUUAUGUUCUUUAGGAUAUAAGUAUAUAUUUAAUUAAUUUUGAUGUUCAAUACAUAUCUUUCUAAAUUAAUUAAUGUCAGGCUUUGUUACUCAUUAAAUGUUUGAAUGAUUUAUAUAAUUGAGGAUUUACUUAAUAUAAAUAUUUAGCUUGCAAUAUUUAAUAGAAAUCUCUGCUACAUAAUCACUUUAUGAUUGUAUAAACAAAAAACAAAGGGUAAAAAAAUACGUACUGCUGAAAAAUUGUCAUAUUUUCCUUUUUUUCUAUCUUUUAUGAGUAAUUUUCUUUCUUAUCUAUCAAAUGUGCGGAACAAUUGAUUUAUGAUAUAGGUUAAUCUUUUGAAGGCUAUACAUCUCUAACUUGUUUAUUUUGUCACUCUAUUCAUCUGUGUUUCCUCUUAUUUUCAAUUUUAUUCUUGCAUCACCAAUGAUUAUGAUAGUGUUUUUCGUAUUGUUUUGAUGAGAUUGAGAUGUUUGUUAGGAUUAUGAGGAUCUCACAAUAAUAAAGUUGGUGCUAAUGUAACACUAGAAAAAUGAUUGGGUUGGUUUCCUUUAAUACAUACGGUCUCAUUUUCAUUGUCUUGUAAUUAUUCUAUUUUCUUUUUUUCUUUUUCAUUUUCUUGUAAUUAUUCUUUUUUCUUUUUUUCUUUUUCAUUUUCUACUUAUAAUUAGUAUUUUAGCAUAUUUUUUAAGCUAUAUAACUUAUGUUAAUCGUUUAAUUAUCAGAAUAUAGAAGAUGACAUUUUAUGUUCUUUAGGAUAUAAGUAUAUAUUUAAUUAAUUUUGAUGUUCAAUACAUAUCUUUCUAAACUAGUUAAUGUCAAGGUUUGUUACUCAAUAAAUGUUUGAUUGAUUUAUAUAAUUGAGGAUUUACUUAAUAUAAUUAUUUAGCUUACAAUAUUUAAUAGAAAUCUCUGGUUCAUAAUCACUUUAUGAUUGUAUAAACAAAAUACAAAGGGUAAAAAAAUACGUACUGCUGAAAAAUUGUCAUAUUUUCCUUUUUUUUCUAUCUUUUAUGAGUAAUUUUCUUUCUUAUCUAUCAAAUGUACGGAACAAUUGAUUUCUGAUAUAGGUUAAUCUUUUGAAGGUUACACAUCUCUAACUUGUUUAUUUUGUCACUCUAUUCAUCUGUGUUUCCUCUUAUUUUCAAUUUUAUUCUUGCAUCACCAAUGAUUAUGAUAGGGUUUUUCGUAUUGUUUUGAUGAGAUUGAGAUGUUUGUUAGGAUUAUGAGGAUCUCACAAUAAUAAAGUUGGUGCUAAUGUAACACUAGAAAAAUGAUUGGGUUGGUUUCCUUUAAUACAUACGGUCUCAUUUUCAUUGUCUUGUAAUUAUUCUAUUUUCUUUUUUUCUUUUUCAUUUUCUUGUAAUUAUUCUUUUUUCUUUUUUUCUUUUUCAUUUUCUACUUAUAAUUAGUAUUUUAGCAUAUUUUUUAAGCUAUAUAACUUAUGUUAAUCGUUUAAUUAUCAGAAUAUAGAAGAUGACAUUUUAUGUUCUUUAGGAUAUAAGUAUAUAUUUAAUUAAUUUUGAUGUUCAAUACAUAUCUUUCUAAACUAGUUAAUGUCAAGGUUUGUUACUCAAUAAAUGUUUGAUUGAUUUAUAUAAUUGAGGAUUUACUUAAUAUAAUUAUUUAGCUUACAAUAUUUAAUAGAAAUCUCUGGUUCAUAAUCACUUUAUGAUUGUAUAAACAAAAUACAAAGGGUAAAAAAAUACGUACUGCUGAAAAAUUGUCAUAUUUUCCUUUUUUUUCUAUCUUUUAUGAGUAAUUUUCUUUCUUAUCUAUCAAAUGUACGGAACAAUUGAUUUCUGAUAUAGGUUAAUCUUUUGAAGGUUACACAUCUCUAACUUGUUUAUUUUGUCACUCUAUUCAUCUGUGUUUCCUCUUAUUUUCAAUUUUAUUCUUGCAUCACCAAUGAUUAUGAUAGGGUUUUUCGUAUUGUUUUGAUGAGAUUGAGAUGUUUGUUAGGAUUAUGAGGAUCUCACAAUAAUAAAGUUGGUGCUAAUGUAACACUAGAAAAAUGAUUGGGUUGGUUUCCUUUAAUACAUACGGUCUCAUUUUCAUUGUCUUGUAAUUAUUCUAUUUUCUUUUUUUCUUUUUCAUUUUCUUGUAAUUAUUCUUUUUUCUUUUUUUCUUUUUCAUUUUCUACUUAUAAUUAGUAUUUUAGCAUAUUUUUUAAUCUAUAUAACUUAUGUUAAUCGUUUAAUUAUCAGAAUAUAGAAGAUGACAUUUUAUGUUCUUUAGGAUAUAAGUAUAUAUUUAAUUAAUUUUGAUGUUCAAUACAUAUCUUUCUAAACUAGUUAAUGUCAAGGUUUGUUACUCAAUAAAUGUUUGAUUGAUUUAUAUAAUUGAGGAUUUACUUAAUAUAAUUAUUUAGCUUACAAUAUUUAAUAGAAAUCUCUGGUUCAUAAUCACUUUAUGAUUGUAUAAACAAAAUACAAAGGGUAAAAAAAUACGUACUGCUGAAAAAUUGUCAUAUUUUCCUUUUUUUUCUAUCUUUUAUGAGUAAUUUUCUUUCUUAUCUAUCAAAUGUGCGGAACAAUUGAUUUCUGAUAUAGGUUAAUCUUUUGAAGGUUACACAUCUCUAACUUGUUUAUUUUGUUACUCUAUUCAUCUGUGUUUCCUCUUAUUUUUAAUUUUAUUCUUGCAUCACCAAUGAUUAUGAUAGGGUUUUUCGUAUUGUUUUGAUGAGAUUGAGAUGUUUUUUAGGAUUAUGAGGAUCUCACAAUAAGAAAGGUGGUACUAAUGUAACACUACAAAAAUGAUUGGGUUUGUUUCCUUUAAUACAUACGGUCUCAUUUUCAUUGUCUUGUAAUUAUUCUUUUUUCUAUUUUUCUUUUUCAUUUUCUUGUAAUCAUUCUGUUUUCUUUUUUUCUUUUUCAUUUUCUAAUUAUAAUAAUUAGUAUUUUUGCAUAUUUUUUAAUCUAUAUAACUUAUGUUAAUCGUUUAAUUAUUAGAAUAUAGAAGAUGACAUUUUGUUCUUUAGGAUAUAAGUAUAUAAUUAAUUAAUUUUGAUGUUCAAUACAUAUCUUUCUAAACUAAUUAAUGUCAAGGUUUGUUACUCAUUACAUGUUUGAUUAUUUAUAUAAUUGAGGAUUUACUUAAUAUAAAUAUUUAGCUUACAAUAUUUAAUAGAUAUCUCUGGUUCAUAAUCAUAUUAUGAUUGUAUAAACAAAAAUACGUACUGCUGAAAAAUUGUCAUGUUUUCCUUUUUUUUUUUCUAUCUUUUAUGAGUAAUUUUCUUUCUUAUCUAUCAAAUGUGCGGAACAAUUGAUUUCUGAUAUAGGUUAAUCUUUUGAAGGUUACACAUCUCUAACUUGUUUAUUUUGUCACUCUAUUCAUCUGUGUUUCCUCUUAUUUUCAAUUUUAUUCUUGCAUCACCAAUGAUUAUGAUAGGGUUUUUCGUAUUGUUUUGAUGAGAUUGAGAUGUUUGUUAGGAUUAUGAGGAUCUCACAAUAAUAAAGGUGGUGCUAAUGUAACACUAGAAAAAUGAUUGGGUUGGUUUCCUUUAAUACAUACGGUCUCAUUUUCAUUGUCUUGUAAUUAUUCUAUUUUCUUUUUUUCUUUUUCAUUUUCUUGUAAUUAUUCUUUUUUCUUUUUUUCUUUUUCAUUUUCUACUUAUAAUUAGUAUUUUAGCAUAUUUUUUAAUCUAUAUAACUUAUGUUAAUCGUUUAAUUAUCAGAAUAUAGAAGAUGACAUUUUAUGUUCUUUAGGAUAUAAGUAUAUAUUUAAUUAAUUUUGAUGUUCAAUACAUAUCUUUCUUUCUCUACCAUGAGUAUAAUUUUAUAAUGCAACUUCUAUCUUAUAUUUCUUUUAUUGGAGUAUAAAUAUAGCAUGCCAGAUUAAAACAUAAUUUUGAAAUUAUCGAUGAUAUAUUUCAUUUUUAUCAUUUUAAAAUUAUAAUAUAUUACUUAUAUUUAUCAUUUUAAAAAAAUACGUACUCCUGAAAAAUUGUCAGAUUUUCCUUUUUUCUAUCUUUUAUGAGUAAUUUUCUUUCCUAUCUAUCAAAUGUACGGAACAAUUAACUUCUGAUAUAGGUUAAACUUUUGAAGGUUACACAUCUCUAAUUUGUUUAUUUUGUUACUCUAUUCAUUUGUGUUUCCUCUUAUUUUCAAUUUUAUUCUUGCAUCACCAAUGAUUAUGAUAGGGUUUUUCGUUUUGUUUUGAUGAGAUUGAGAUGUUUGUUAGGAUUAUGAGGAUCUCACAAUAAUAAAGGUGGUGCUAAUGUAACACUAGAAAAAUGAUUAGGUUGGUUUCUUUUAAUACAUACGGUCUAAUUUUCAUUGUCUUGUAAUUAUUCUUUUUUCUUUUUUUCUUUUUCUUUUUCUUGUAAUUAUUCUGUUUUCUUUUUUUCUUUUUCAUUUUCUACUUAUAAUUAGUAUUUUAGCAUUUUUUUAAUAUGUAAGUUAUGUUAAUUGUUUAAUUAUCAGAAUAUAGAAGAUGCCAUUUUAUGUUCUUUAGGAUAUAAAUAUAUAUUUAAUUAAUUUUGAUGUUUCAAUACAUAUCUUUCUUUCUCUACCAUGAGUAUAAUUUUAUAAUGCAACUUCUAUCUUAUAUUUCUUUUAUUGGAGUAUAAAUAUAGCAUGCCAGAUUAAAACAUAAUUUCAAAAUUAUCGAUGAUAUAUUUCAUUUUUAUCAUUUUAAAAUUAUAAUAUAUUACUUAUAUUUAUCAUUUUCAAAAAAUACGUACUGCUGAAAAAUUGUCAUAUUUUCCUUUUUUUUCUAUCUUUUAUGAGUAAUUUUCUUUCUUAUCUAUAAAAUGUACAGAUCAAGUGAUUUUUGAUAUAGGUUGAUCU
rnacentral:lncRNA from 1 species